UAACCUGCCCAAGAGAUCGGGAUAACGCCUGGAAACAGAUGCUAAUACCGGAUAACAACAGAUGAUGCCUAUCAACUGUUUAAAAGAUGGUUCUGCUAUCACUCUUGGAUGGACCUGCGGUGCAUUAGCUAGUUGGUAGGGUAACGGCCUACCAAGGCGAUGAUGCAUAGCCGAGUUGAGAGACUGAUCGGCCACAUUGGGACUGAGACACGGCCCAAACUCCUACGGGAGGCAGCAGUA
rnacentral:rRNA from 1 species